CCUACGGGAGGCAGCAGUGGGGAAUAUUGCACAAUGGGGGAAACCCUGAUGCAGCGACGCCGCGUGAGUGAGGAAGUAUUUCGGUAUGUAAAGCUCUAUCAGCAGGGAAGAAAAUGACGGGACCUGACUAAGAAGCCGCGGCUAACUACGUGCCAGCAGCCGCGGUAAUACGUAGGGGGCAAGCGUAAUCCGGAUUUACUGGGUGUAAAGGGAGAGUAGACGGCUAAUCAAGUCAGAAGGGAAAACCCAGGGCUCAACCUUGGGAGUGCGUUUGAAACUGAGGAGCUCGAGUGCAGGAGAGGUAAGCGGAAUGCCUAGUGGAGCGGUGAAAUGCGUAGAUAUUAGGAGGAACACCAGUGGCGAAGGCGGCUUACUGGACUGUAACUGACGUUGAGGCUCGAAAGCGUGGGGAGCAAACAGGAUUAGAUACCCGAGUAGUC
rnacentral:rRNA from 1 species